rnacentral:lncRNA from 1 species
UUCUAAGGGCUUGUUUGAUUAUUGUUGAUUGCUUGAGCUUACACUUAUUUUGCUUACAUAUUCCAAAGGAUGGGAGCUACUUGGGUCAUCCAUAUGAUCUCAAGAGAGGAACUCCAUUUGUGGUCUUGUUUCUUAUCCCUCAUCUCUUGUAUGAUUAGGACUUUAGCCAUUCUUCUUCUUCCCUCCACUCUAACCCAAGCCAAAAC